rnacentral:rRNA from 1 species
CUAGUAACUGCGAGUGAAGCGGGAAGAGCUCAAAUUUGUAAUCUGGCCGUCCUCGAGGCGGUCCGAGUUGUAACCUAUAGAAGCGUCAUCCGCGCCGGCCCUUGCCUAAGUCUGUUGGAAUUCAGCGUCGUUGAGGGUGAGAACCCCGUCACUGGCAAGGACAACCGGGGCUUUGCGUUGCGCUCUCUAAGAGUCGUGUUGUUUGGGAAUGCAGCACUAACGGGUGGUAAAUUCCAUCUAAAGCUAAAUAUUGGCGAGAGACCGAUAGCGAACAAGUACCGUGAGGGAAAGAUGAAAAGCACUUUGGAAAGAGAGUUAAAUACCACGUGAAAUUGUUGAAAGGGAAACGCUUGAAAGUCAGUCAUGCCCUUGGGGAGCUUCAGCCUUAAUYGGUGUAUUCUUCCUUUGUGGCGGGUCGACGUCGGUUUCCAAGGCACGGAUAAGGGCCCGGGGAAUGUAGCUUUGCCACCGCGAAGUGUUAUAGACCCCCNCUGGAUACRGCUUUUGGGACCGAAGUUAGCAACGCGCUCCCCCUUU